rnacentral:rRNA from 1 species
UUNGNAAUUUAAUUNGCGGCCGCGAANUUCGCCCUUUCUCUAACACAUGCAAGUCGAACGAAAGAUUGUAGCAAUACUGUCUUAGUGGCCGAACGGGUGAGUAACGCGUUGGUGACCUGCCCCGAAGUGUGGGAUACCAGUUCGAAAGGACUUGCUAAUACCGCAUAAUAUCCAGGAAGAUUAGAACCUGCUGGAUUAAAGGAUUUAUUCGCUUCGGGAGGGGCCUGCGUCCCAUCAGCUAGUUGGUAGGGUAAUGGCUUACCAAGGCGAUGACGGGUAGGGGACCUGAGAGGGUGGCCCCCCACAAUGGAACUUGAAACACGGUCCAUACACCUACGGGUGGCAGCAGUAGGGAAUAUUAGUAAUGGGCGAAAGCCUGAACUAGCAACGCCGCGUGUGCGAUGAAGGCCUUCGGGUUGUAAAGCACUUUUUGAGAGGAUGAGGAAGGACGGUACUCUCAGAAUAAGUCUCGGCUAACUACGUGCCAGCAGCCGCGGUAAYAMGGGGAAUUGUUUAACCUCAGNCNNGNCCUUUGAG